rnacentral:rRNA from 1 species
AACGAACGCUGGCGGCAUGCCUAACACAUGCAAGUCGAACGAGACCUUCGGGUCUAGUGGCGCACGGGUGCGUAACGCGUGGGAACCUGCCCUUAGGUUCGGAAUAACUCCCCGAAAGGGGUGCUAAUACCGGAUAAUGUCUUCGGACCAAAGAUUUAUCGCCUUUGGAUGGGCCCGCGUUGGAUUAGCUAGUUGGUAGGGUAAAAGCCUACCAAGGCGACGAUCCAUAGCUGGUCUGAGAGGAUGAUCAGCCACACUGGGACUGAGACACGGCCCAGACUCCUCCGGGAGGCAGCAGUGGGGAAUAUUGGACAAUGGGCGAAAGCCUGAUCCAGCAAUGCCGCGUGAGUGAUGAAGGCCUUAGGGUUGUAAAGCUCUUUUACCCGGGAUGAUAGUGACAGUACCGGGAGAAUAAGCUCCGGCUAACUCCG